rnacentral:rRNA from 1 species
UGGGCAACCUGCCCUCAGCUCUGGGAUAACCCCGGGAAACCGGGGCUAAUACCGGAUACGAGUCCGAGCGGCAUCACACGGACUGGAAAGUUUUUCGGCUAAGGAUGGGCUCGCGGCCUAUCAGCUUGUUGGUGGGGUAAUGGCCCACCAAGGCGACGACGGGUAGCCGGCCUGAGAGGGCGACCGGCCACACUGGGACUGAGACACGGCCCAGACUCCUACGGGAGGCA